rnacentral:rRNA from 1 species
UGGCUCAGAUUGAACGCUGGCGGCAGGCCUAACACAUGCAAGUCGAACGGUAACAGGAAGCAGCUUGCUGCUUCGCUGACGAGUGGCGGACGGGUGAGUAAUGUCUGGGAAACUGCCUGAUGGAGGGGGAUAACUACUGGAAACGGUAGCUAAUACCGCAUAACGUCGCAAGACCAAAGAGGGGGACCUUCGGGCCUCUUGCCAUCGGAUGUGCCCAGAUGGGAUUAGCUAGUAGGUGGGGUAACGGCUCACCUAGGCGACGAUCCCUAGCUGGUCUGAGAGGAUGACCAGCCACACUGGAACUGAGACACGGUCCAGACUCCUACGGGAGGCAGCAGUGGGGAAUAUUGCACAAUGGGCGCAAGCCUGAUGCAGCCAUGCCGCGUGUAUGAAGAAGGCCUUCGGGUUGUAAAGUACUUUCAGCGGGGAGGAAGGUGUUGAGGUUAAUAACCUCAGCAAUUGACGUUACCCGCAGAAGAAGCACCGGCUAACUCCGUGCCAGCAGCCGCGGUAAUACGGAGGGUGCAAGCGUUAAUCGGAAUUACUGGGCGUAAAGCGCACGCAGGCGGUCUGUCAAGUCGGAUGUGAAAUCCCCGGGCUCAACCUGGGAACUGCAUUCGAAACUGGCAGGCUAGAGUCUUGUAGAGGGGGGUAGAAUUCCAGGUGUAGCGGUGAAAUGCGUAGAGAUCUGGAGGAAUACCGGUGGCGAAGGCGGCCCCCUGGACAAAGACUGACGCUCAGGUGCGAAAGCGUGGGGAGCAAACAGGAUUAGAUACCCUGGUAGUCCACGCCGUAAACGAUGUCGACUUGGAGGUUGUGCCCUUGAGGCGUGGCUUCCGGAGCUAACGCGUUAAGUCGACCGCCUGGGGAGUACGGCCGCAAGGUUAAAACUCAAAUGAAUUGACGGGGGCCCGCACAAGCGGUGGAGCAUGUGGUUUAAUUCGAUGCAACGCGAAGAACCUUACCUACUCUUGACAUCCAGAGAACUUUCCAGAGAUGGAUUGGUGCCUUCGGGAACUCUGAGACAGGUGCUGCAUGGCUGUCGUCAGCUCGUGUUGUGAAAUGUUGGGUUAAGUCCCGCAACGAGCGCAACCCUUAUCCUUUGUUGCCAGCGGUCCGGCCGGGAACUCAAAGGAGACUGCCAGUGAUAAACUGGAGGAAGGUGGGGAUGACGUCAA